CAUGUUGUAGCUCAGUGGCAGAGCGUUUGCCUAGCAUGUAUGAGGCACUGGGUUCAAUCCUCAGCACCACAU
rnacentral:tRNA from 1 species